UUCCCAGACUCCUACGGGAGGCAGCAGUGGGGGAUAUUGCACAAUGGGGGAAACCCUGAUGCAGCGACGCCGCGUGUGGGAAGACGGUCCUCUGGAUUGUAAACCACUGUCCCCAGGGGCGAAAAUGACGGUACCUGAAGAAGAAGCCCCGGCUAACUACGUGCCAGCAGCCGCGGUAAUACGUAGGGGGCAAGCGUUAUCCGGAUUUACUGGGUGUAAAGGGGGCGCAGACGGCGAUGCAAGCCAGGAGUGAAAGCCCGGGGCCCAACCCCGGGACUGCUCUUGGAACUGCGUGGCUGGAGUGCAGGAGGGGCAGGCGGAAUUCCUGGUGUAGCGGUGAAAUGCGUAGAUAUCAGGAGGAACACCGGUGGCGAAGGCGGCCUGCUGGACUGCAACUGACGUUGAGGCCCGAAAGCGUGGGGAGCAAACAGGAUUAGAUACCCUCGUA
rnacentral:rRNA from 1 species